GGCUCAGGAUGAACGCUAGCUACAGGCUUUAACACAUGCAAGUCGAGGGGGAAACGACAUUGGAAAGCUUGCUUUUGAUGGGCGUCGACCGGCGCACGGGUGAGUAACGCGUAUCCAACCUGCCCACCACUUGGGGAUAACCUUGCGAAAGUAAGACUAAUACCCAAUGAUAUCUCUAGAAGACAUCUGAAAGAGAUUUAAAGAUUUUAUCGGUGAUGGAUGGGGAUGCGUCUGAUUAGCUUGUUGGCGGGGUAACGGCCCACCAAGGCGACGAUCAGUAGGGGGUUCUGAGAGGAAGGUCCCCCCACAUUGGAACUGAGACACGGUCCAAACUCCUACGGGAGGCAGCAGUGAGGAAUAUUGGUCAAUGGGCGAGAGCCUGAACCAGCCAAGUAGCGUGCAGGAUGACGGCCCUAUGGGUUGUAAACUGCUUUUAUAAGGGAAUAAAGUGAGCCUCGUGAGGCUUUUUGCAUGUACCUUAUGAAUAAGGACCGGCUAAUUCCGUG
rnacentral:rRNA from 1 species